UACCAGCACCCCGAGUGGUCGGGACGAUUAUUGGGCCUAAAGCAUCCGUAGCCGGUUUUACAAGUCCUCCGUUAAAUCCAGCUGCUUAACAGAUGGGCUGCGGAGGAUACUAUAAGACUAGGAGGCAGGAGAGGCAAGCGGUACUCAGUGGGUAGGGGUAAAAUCCGUUGAUCCAUUGAAGACCACCAGUGGCGAAGGCGGCUUGCCAGAAUGCGCUCGACGGUGAGGGAUGAAAGCUAGGGGAGCGAACGGG
rnacentral:rRNA from 1 species